AUGAAGCUGGAUUCGCUAGUAAUCGCGCAUCAGCCACGGCGCGGUGAAUACGUUCCCGGGCCUUGUACACACCGCCCGUCAAGCCAUGGAAGCCGGGAGUGCCUGAAGUGCGUGACCGCAAGGAGCGCCCUAAGGCAAUACCGGUGACUGGGGCUAAGUCGUAACAAGGUAGC
rnacentral:rRNA from 1 species